UGUAGCUCAUUUGAUAGAGUGCUUGCCUGGUAUAUAUGAGGUCCUGGGUUCUAUUCCCAGCA
rnacentral:tRNA from 1 species